GCCCAACCAAGGUCCUGCCCCUCAGCCCAACCAAGGUCCUGCCCCUCAGCCCCAAGUGCCAAGAUCAGAUGUAGACGAUAAUCCAGACUAUCCACCUGCAAAACGAAUGUUCAGAGGACCUCCAGAAGGACCUGCCGGAGAUACAAACGCCAUUCCAGCAGGGAGUGAACUCCACCGACCAUAUCAGCGAGGGGAUGACGAGGCUGCUUUGCUGAGCACGGAACUCGCAACAAAUGUGUACCCAACAAUAUUAAGUACUGAGCAAGUGCAAGUUGUAUAUGCCCG